rnacentral:rRNA from 1 species
UACGUAGGGGGCUAGCGUUGUCCGGAAUCAUUGGGCGUAAAGAGCGUGUAGGCGGCCCGGUAAGUCCGCUGUGAAAGUCGGGGGCUCAACCCUCGAAUGCCGGUGGAUACUGUCGGGCUAGAGUGCGGAAGAGGCGAGUGGAAUUCCGUGGUGUAGCGGUGAAAUGCGUAGAUAUCAGGAGGAACACCGGUGGCGAAGGCGCUCAUCUGGCCCAAUACUGACGCUGAUGCGCGAAAGCUAGGGGAGCAAACGGG